UACAGAGGGUGCAAGCGUUGUUCGGAAUUAUUGGGCGUAAAGCGCGUGUAGGCGGCCCGGUAAGUCCGCUGUGAAAGUCGGGGGCUCAACCCUCGGAUGCCGGUGGAUACUGGCGGGCUAGAGUGCGGUAGAGGAGAGUGGAAUUCCCGGUGUAGCAGUGAAAUGCGUAGAGAUCGGGAGGAACAUCAGUUGCGAAGGCGGCUCUCUGGACCAGCACUGACACUGAGGCACGAAAGCGUGGGGAGCAAACAGG
rnacentral:rRNA from 1 species